rnacentral:piRNA from 1 species
GACGAAAGUAGCCAAGGUGGAUGCACA